rnacentral:rRNA from 1 species
GACGAACGCUGGCGGCGUGCCUAAUACAUGCAAGUUGAGCGCUGAAGGUUGGUACUUGUACCAACUGGAUGAGCAGCGAACGGGUGUGUAACGCGUGGGGAAUCUGCCUUUGAGCGGGGGACAACAUUUGGAAACGAAUGCUAAUACCGCAUAAAAACUUUAAACACAAGUUUUAAGUUUGAAAGAUGCAAUUGCAUCACUCAAAGAUGAUCCCGCGUUGUAUUAGCUAGUUGGUGAGGUAAAGGCUCACCAAGGCGAUGAUACAUAGCCGACCUGAGAGGGUGAUCAGCCACAUUGGGACUUAGACACGGCCCAAACUCCUACGGGAGGCAGCAGUAGGGAAUCUUCGGCAAUGGACGAAAGUCUGACCGAGCAACGCCGCGUGAGUGAAGAAUGUUUUCGGAUCGUAAAACUCUGUUGGUAGAGAAGAACGUUGGUGAGAGUGGAAAGCUCAUCAAGUGACGGUAACUACCCAGAAAGGGACGGCUAACUACGUG